ACUUACCCGCGUUAGGGAUUGCAGUGGAUAGCCCACAGCCCGACAAAGGAGGUGCGAGGACUUGUAACGGAAAGCCCGACCGUAG
rnacentral:misc_RNA from 1 species